UCGCGACCCCAGGUCAGGCGGGG
rnacentral:rRNA from 3 species